rnacentral:sRNA from 1 species
GGUAAACACUUAAGGUUCACUUAAUCUCUAUUGUGCACACUCUCCUCCAGCAUCCCGGAGGAGAGUGUGAUGAAAAAGCGUGUUUACGAAAGUUUAACCACCGUGUUUAGCGUCAUGAUCGUCAGCAGUUUUGUCUACCUUUGGGUGACGACUUACUGAUCUUUAU